ACGGGCCUGGCGUGCCGCGGGGGGCGGGUUUGUUGUGUUGUGCCUUCUCUCUCUUUUUUAGGUAAAAAUGCGCGGGCUCUUGCGGCCACGCCUGGGGGUGGGGCCCGAGCGACUGCUGAGCUGCCGCCGGCGGGCGGGACCAGCAGCGCUUUUCCUGGGCGGCCCCGCGGGUCGGUGGGCGGAGGAUCGGUUGGAUGGUCGGCACGGAGGGUUGCCGUGAAUAGCUUUGCGUCCCGGUGGGGGCCGGUCACAGGUCGUGUACCCCAGGGGACCGUCUUGCGGCAGUGCUCUUAAGCAUCUUCAUCAGUGACACAGACAGUGGGAUCGAGUGAGUGCUCAGCAACUUCGCUGGUGACACCAAGCUGAGCGGUGCAGUUCGUACAAUAGAACGGACACCAUCCAGAUGGACCUGGGCAGGCGUGAGGAGUGGGCCCACGUGAGCCUAACGAGGUUCAGCGAGGCCAAGUGCAAGGUGCUGCACUUGGGUUGGGGCAAUCCCAGGUGUUUAUACAGACUGGGGGAAGAACUCAUUGAGAGCAGCCCUGUGGAGAAGGACUUGGGAAUCCUGAUGGACGAAAAGCUGGACACAAGCCAGGAGGCCAACUGUAUCCUGGGCUGCAUCACAAAAGAGGUGGCCAGCAGGGAGAGGGAGGGGAUUGUCCCCCUCUGCUCUGCCCUUGUGAGGCCCUGGCUGGAGUACUGCAUCCAGGGCUGGGCCUCAGCGCAAAAGAGAGUGGAGCUGUUGGAGCGGGUCCAGAGGAGGGCAUGAAGAUGAUCAGAGAGCUGGAGCAGCUGUCCUGUGAAAACAGGCUGAGGGAGCUGGGCUUGCUCAGUCUGGAGAAGAGAAGGCACUGGGGAGGCCUCAGUACAGCCUUUCUUGAAGUACUUAAAAUAAGCUUAUAAGCAGGAGGGAAAUAAACAUUUUACAUGGUCUGAUGGUGAGAGGUCAAGGGGGAGCAGUUUUAAACUAGAAGGGAGAUUUAUGUUAGAUAUGAGGACGAAAUUCUUUACCCAGAGGGCAGUGAGACGCUGGCACAGGCUGCCCAGAGAAGCUGUGGUGCCCCAUCCCUGGAGGUGCUCAAGGCCAGGUUGGAUGGGGCCCUGGGCAGCCUGAGCUGGUGGGGGGCAGCCCUGCCCACGGCAGGGGUUGGGGCAGGGUGGGCUUUUGAGGUUCCUUCCAACCCAUGCUAUUCUGUGAUUCUAUGAAAUGGAAGCAAAGAGAUCUGUUUCUGGCCCUUUCCUUUUCAGUGUCAGAUUGUCCAUGAAUGAGAAAGGAAAUCAGCACACUGCAGAAGUAAAAGGCUCAUGAACCUUUAGCAAUCUUCCCAACUAAGAAAUGCACAACAGCAGGACCUGAGGAGCCUUUAAUUACUAAAGGAAUUCUGUAGCACUGGAUUGCUUCUGUUGUGAUCCGAUCAAACUUGCAAUUCUGAGUAUUUGGUAACAUCAUUUGUGGGAAUAAAUGAGGGAAAAAAGGGUUAGAAUACCGUUUCAAACAAACAAUAAAAGAUGGAUGUUGGUUAAUGGGGCAAGGAAACCUAGAAGUUGCUGAUUGGUCGUUGGAACUGAACUGGAGACUACAUCCUGAAGAAAAAACAGCUGAAGCUGGAUCACCCUAUUCAACCAUGCCAAGUUCAAGAGUACACAGUGAGGAAGAGAUACGGCCUUCAUCCUCACGACCCCGGAAGACGACCACCAGGAGGCACUACGCAUGCUCAAGGGGUGUGACUCUGGAGUGGAAUGUAUGAUAAUAAUUUCUUGGAAUUAACUGUAAUAGUCCCUCCCUCCCUCAGGAAUGCUAUGCAUAUGUACGCCUUUGAUCUUUAAGUAUGGAAGUUUUCUGCCUUUUGGUGUGCAAGCUAGGAUGGUGAUACCCCCGUCACCUGGUGUGUGGGUGCAGUGUCGUAAUAAACAUACCUGCUUUAUAA